ensembl:lncRNA AHI1-DT AHI1 divergent transcript
AGGGCUGGAAAAAUACUAGAUGCGCUACUCGUGGACUCGUGAAUACACUCGUGAAUACAGGCCAUUUCCUGUACCUACAGCCACCCGCUAUUAUAGAUCCAGACUCCUGUGCCUGACCACUGCCCAUGGCCAACUCUCUGCUGAUGACUGGACUUGACUACACAAGUUGUUGGGCUCAACACCAUGUGGAAGCUGCCAGGGCUUGGGGCUUUCACCCUCUGAAGCCACGACCUGAACCAUACCUUGACCCCUUUUAACCACGGCUGGAAUGGCUGGGACACAGGGCACCAAGUCCCUAGGAUGUACACAGAAGAGGGGCCCUGGGCUCCACCCGCAAAACCAUUUUUUCCUCCUAAGACUCUAGACCUAUGAUGGGAGGGUCUGCUGCAAAGGUCUCUGACAUGCCCUGGAGACAUUUUCCCUAUUGUCUUGGUGAUUAACAUUUGACUCAUUAUUACUUAUGUGAAUUUUUGCAGCUGGCUUGAAUUUCUCCUCAGAAAAUGGGAUUUUCUUUCCUAUUGCAUUGUCAGUCCUCCAAACUAUUCCAACUUCUGUCUGUUACCCAAUUCCAAGGUCACUUCUGCAUUUUUGGGUAUCUUUUCAGGAGCAUCCCACUCUACUGGUACCAAUUUGCUGUAUUAGUCUGUUCUCAUGCUGCUGAUAAAGACAUACCCAAGACUGGGCAAUUUAUAAAAGAAAGAGGUUUAAUGAACUUACAGUUCCAUGUGCCUGGGGAAGCCUCACAAUCAUGGUGGAAGGCAAGGAGGAGCAAGUCACCUCUUACAUGGAUGGCAGUAGGCAAAAGAGAGAGCUUGUGCAGGGAAACUCCCCUUAUAAUAUGGUCAGAUCUUGUGAGACUUAUUCACUAUUAUGGGAACAGCACAGGAAAGACCUGCCCCCAUUAUUCAAUUACCUCCCACCAUAUCCCUCCCACAACAUAUGGAAUUCAAGAUGAGAUUUGGGUUGAGACACAGCCAAACUAUAUCAGUGCAUUAAGGAUUGUCAUGUCUUUAUGGGGUAUUGACCCUUUUAUCAUUUUGUUAUGUCCCUCUUUAUCCCUGAUAACUUUCCUUGUUCCGAAAUUUGCUUUGUAUGGAAUUACAUAGCUACUCCUGCUUUCUUUUGAUUGGUGUUAGCAUAAUUAUCUUCACUCGUUUUCUUUUAAUCUAUAUGUGUCUUUAUAUUUAAGAUGAGUUUUUUGUAGACAACAAUAGUUUGGCCUUCUUUUUUGAUCCACUUUGAUAUAUAUAUUUUAAUCAGUGUAUUUAGACCAUUGAGUUUUAAAAUGAUUGUCAAUGGAUCUGGACUCAUAUCUACCAUAUUUGUUAAUGUUUUCUAUUCAUUUACCUUGUUCUUAUUUUGUCUUCUUUUCUGUUUCUGCCUUUUGUGGUUUUAAGUGAGCAUUUUAUAUGAUUUCAUUUUCUCUCCU